rnacentral:rRNA from 1 species
UACGAAGGGUGCAAGCGUUAUCCGGAUUCACUGGGUUUAAAGGGUGCGUAGGUGGGUUGGUAAGUCAGUGGUGAAAUCUCCGAGCUUAACUUGGAAACUGCCAUUGAUACUAUCAGUCUUGAAUACCGUGGAGGUCAGCGGAAUAUGUCAUGUAGCGGUGAAAUGCUUAGAUAUGACAUAGAACACCAAUUGCGAAGGCAGCUGGCUACACGAGUAUUGACACUGAGGCACGAAAGCGUGGGGAUCAAACAGGG